UACGUAGGGUGCAAGCGUUGUCCGGAAUUAUUGGGCGUAAAGGGCUCGUAGGCGGUCCAUCGCGUCGGGAGUGAAAAGCCGGGGCUUAACCCCAGUCCUGCUUCCGAUACGGGUGGACUAGAGGUAGGUAGGGGAGAUCGGAAUUCCUGGUGUAGCGGUGGAAUGCGCAGAUAUCAGGAGGAACACCAACGGCGAAGGCAGCUCGCUGGGACGGUACUGACACUGAGGCGCGAAAGCGUGGGGAGCGAACAGG
rnacentral:rRNA from 1 species